UACGGGGGGGGGUAAGCGUUGUUCGGAAUUAUUGGGCGUAAAGCGCGUGUAGGCGGCAGUGCAAGUCGGGUGUGAAAGCCCUCAGCUCAACUGAGGAAGUGCGCCCGAAACUGCAUUGCUUGAGUACCGGAGAGGAUGGCGGAAUUCCCGAAGUAGAGGUGAAAUUCGUAGAUAUCGGGAGGAACACCGGUGGCGAAGGCGGCCAUCUGGACGGAUACUGACGCUGAGACGCGAAAGCGUGGGUAGCAAACAGG
rnacentral:rRNA from 1 species